rnacentral:tRNA from 1 species
GGAGGGUGCAGCGGCGCGGUCGCCGCAACCCGCUGAUACCGGUGUUCUGGGAGUGAUCCUUCCGGUGGGUUCGAUUCCCACGCCCUCCGCCA